rnacentral:tRNA from 1 species
UCCCUGGUGACUCAGUGGUAAAGAAUCUGCCUGCCAAUGCAGGAGGCUCAGGUUCGAUCCCUGGGUAGGGAA